rnacentral:rRNA from 1 species
GCGGCCUAUCAGCUUGUUGGUGAGGUAAUGGCUCACCAAGGCAACGACGGGUAGCCGGCCUGAGAGGGCGACCGGCCACACUGGGACUGAGACACGGCCCAGACUCCUACGGGAGGCAGCAGUGGGGAAUAUUGGGCAAUGGAGGAAACUCUGACCCAGCGACGCCGCGUGCGGGAUGAAGGCCUUCGGGUUGUAAACCGCUUUCAGUAGGGAAGAAGCGAAAGUGACGGUNCCUACAAAAGAAGCACCGGCUAACUAUGUGCCAGCAGCCACGGUAAUACAUAGGGUGCAAGCGUUGUCCGGAAUUAUUGGGCGUUAAAGAGCUCGUAGGUCGUUUGUUACGUCNGAUGUGAAAACCUGAGGCUCAACCUCAGGCCUGCAUUCGAUACGGGCAAACUAGAGUUUGGUAGGGGAGACUGGAAUUCCU